CGGUAAACAAGAGGGAAGGCAGCCCUCGUGAAGGUGAGCGAAUCCCAAAAAUAAACGUCCCAGUUCGGAUUGUAGUCUGCAACCCGACUACAUGAAGCUGGAAUCGCUAGUAAUCGCGAAUCAGAAUGUCGCGGUGAAUACGUUCCCGGGUCUUGUACACACCGCCCGUCACACCAUGGGAGUUGGAAAUGCCCGAAGUCAGUGACCCAACCGCAAGGAGGGAGCUGCCGAAGGCAGGUCCGGUAACUGGGGUGAAGUCGUAACAAGGUACC
rnacentral:rRNA from 1 species